AUGCCUCCAGGAAGGGUGAUGGCCCCAGCUCCAGGACAAAAAAAGAGGAUCCUGGAACCUGAUGAACCUGCCCAUGAUAGAGUCACAAGGCAGAAAGCAAAGAUGGCGACUACGACGGACCAUCAGGAAAGUCUGCGGCGCAUGGACUCUGAGACCUCGGUGCAAAUGGGUGAUGAGUUGCCGCCCAUGGAUGAAGAUGCAAUGACUACCAAGACUAGACUUAGAAAGGGCAAAGGGCUAGAGAGAAUCACCAAGGCGCUUGGUAGCAAGGUGCCUAUCCAAAUUGCCGAAGGGAUGAAGCGUCCAGUGAAACCUCUGCAGGCAGCAAAGCUUGCUUCUGAGUGUGGACUCGUUGCAAGAAGCCAUCUUCCGGUUCUUCCUCACUUCAAGCUAUACAAAAAAAUGCUAGUCUAUUGGAGAACUACAUUGGGAAAGUUGCUGCCAAUUUUGAGAUGA
rnacentral:rRNA from 1 species